GUCCACGCCGUAAACGAUGAUUGCUAGCCGUUGGGCAGCUUGCUGUUCAGUGGCGCAGCUAACGCAUUAAGCAAUCCGCCUGGGGAGUACGGCCGCAAGGUUGAAACUCAAAGGAAUUGACGGGGGCCCGCACAAGCGGUGGAGCAUGUGGUUUAAUUCGACGCAACGCGCAGAACCUUACCAGGGUUUGACAUCCUGCGACCGCUCCUUAAUGGGAGUUUUCCCGCAAGGGACGCAGAGACAGGUGCUGCAUGGCUGUCGU
rnacentral:rRNA from 1 species